CAAUAAAAAGGAAUGCAGUUGCACCGAACGUGAAAGCUGUAGGAAGUGCGGAGCAGUGUACUGCCUGCCCUUUGGCGAUGCUGGCGUUCACGGGCAAGUACACGCUGGCGUAACCACGUAGCCUGCUCGGCGUCCUUGACUAGAAAGAAAACCUUGGUUGGUGAUGUGGUGGCGCCCUCUCCUCUCUUUCUUUCGCUUUUGCUCACCCUCACAUCGCUCCUUGGGUUGGAGGAGAGGGUCCGAAAGAUGCACGUGCAUGUGCUCAUGUAGGCAGUGGCAGCCUUGAAGAAGUAGUCUCUUUGUAGAAACGGUGGCUCCUGUUUUGAACGAUAAACAUAUGCAGAGCCGGCACGAAAAUCAUGAACUAAGUAUCUUAAGAAGGAGGCAGGCACUGCAAGAGCCUCACCAUAAAGUCGUUCGGAGUGUCGGUCAGCUUUGCAGCGCAAGAUCACCGUGCAUACUGUGGACUUGCUGCCGACAAAGGGGCCGAGAAUCAAGGUGUUACCCCAGGACAAGGCGUGGCGGUCUCUGCUCAAACGCUCAAUUCAACGGAACAUACAGGGACUAUUGUCCCUGUGCGUCUGGGCAUGGCAGGUGUCUUUUUGGCUCAUGCAAAUUGGAAAACACAAAUAGACACCCUUAUCACCAAAGACUGUAGUUAUUCACAGGCCUCCUCUAGGAAGAAGCAACCACCGUUCAACAAAAAAUGAAAUAAAAUAAACGCCACUGCCUUAAUUUAUUGUAAGUAUUUAAG
rnacentral:misc_RNA from 1 species